rnacentral:rRNA from 1 species
AUUGAACGCUGGCGGCGUGCUUAACACAUGCAAGUCGAACGCGAAAGGGACUUCGGUCCUGAGUAAAGUGGCGCACGGGUGAGUAACGCGUGGAUAAUCUGCCCUUAUGAUUGGAAUAACAGUUGGAAACGGCUGCUAAUACCGGAUACGCUCAAAAUGAACUUUUUGAGGAAAGAUGGCCUCUGCUUGCAUGCUAUCGCAUAAGGAUGAUGCCGCGUCCCAUUAGCUUGUUGGCGGGGUAACGGCCCACCAAGGCAACGAUGGGUAGCCGAUUUGAGAGGAUGAUCGGCCACACUGGAACUGAAACACGGUCCAGACUCCUACGGGAGGCAGCAGUGGGGAAUAUUGCGCAAUGGGCGAAAGCCUGACGCAGCGACGCCGCGUGAGGGAUGAAGGUUUUCGGAUCGUAAACCUCUGUCAGAAGGGAAGAAACUACGUUGUGCUAAUCAGCAGCGUACUGACGGUACCUUCAAAGGAAGCACCGGCUAACUCCGUGCCAGCCGCCGCCGUAA